CAUCGAUGAAGAACGUAGCGAACUGCGAUACUUGGUGUGAAUUGUAGAAUCCCGUGAAUCAUCGAGUCUUUGAACGCAAGUUGCGCCCGAAGCCUUCGGGUCGAGGGCACGUUUGCCUGGGUGUCA
rnacentral:rRNA from 2 species